GAAGGCCAGGUGAGCCUCAGCAAGAUGUUAAGUCCUUGAGAUCAUAUGCAGAAUUGUGCAUAAACUUAUAUAUUUUCCUUUAAAAAAACUUAAAAUUUGGAAGUAAUUAUAGAUUUACAAGAAGUCCCAGGAGUAGUAGAGAGGCCUGUGUACCUUUCAACCAGUUCCCCCCAACAGUAACUUCUUAUGUAACUUAAAUACAAUAGCUAAAUCAGGAAAUUGACAUGAGUAUAAUCCAGGUGGUUUUUGGACUGUAUGAGUUUUACAUGAAUUCCUGUGUGCACAUGUAUGUGUAUGGUUCUAUGCAAUUUAAUUAUAUGUAUAGAUUCAUGUAACUCCCCCCACAAUCAAGAAUUUGCUGUCACCCCAAAGAUUUCUCAUGCUAUCCCUUUAUAGCCACCCAUCCCUAACUCCUAACAACCACUACCUAUUCUCAAUCUUUAUACUUUGAUCAUUUCAAGAUUGUUACUUAUAUGUGUUUUCUUGAAAGGAUCCAGAGCAGUC
rnacentral:lncRNA from 1 species